AUAUCAAUAAGCGGAGGAAAAGAAACUAACAAGGAUUCCCCUAGUAACUGCGAGUGAAGCGGGAAAAGCUCAAAUUUAAAAUCUGUCAGUCUUUGGCUGUCCGAGUUGUAAUCUAGAGAAGCGUUAUCCGCGCUGGACCGUGUACAAGUCUCCUGGAAUGGAGCGUCAUAGAGGGUGAGAAUCCCGUCUUUGACACGGACUGCCAGGGCUUUGUGAUGCGCUCUCAAAGAGUCGAGUUGUUUGGGAAUGCAGCUCAAAAUGGGUGGUAAAUUCCAUCUAAAGCUAAAUAUUGGCGAGAGACCGAUAGCGAACAAGUACCGUGAGGGAAAGAUGAAAAGAACUUUGGAAAGAGAGUUAAACAGUACGUGAAAUUGCUGAAAGGGAAACGCUUGAAGUCAGUCGCGUUGUCCAGGGAUCAACCUUGCUUUUGCUUGGUGUACUUUCUGGUUGACGGGUCAGCAUCAAUUUUGACUAUUGGAAAAAGAUUAGGGGAAUGUGGCAUCUUCGGAUGUGUUAUAGCCCUUGGUUGCAUACAAUGGUUGGGAUUGAGGAACUCAGCACGCCGAAAGGCCGGGUUUUAACCACGUACGUGCUUAGGAUGCUGGCAUAAUGGCUUUAAUCGACCCGUCUUGAAACACGGACCAAGGAGUCUAACAUGCCUGCGAGUGUUUGGGUGGAAAACCCGAGCGCGUAAUGAAAGUGAAAGUUGAGAUCCUUGUCAUGGGGAGCAUCGACGCCCGGACCAGACCUUUUGUGACGGUUCCGCGGUAGAGCAUGUAUGUUGGGACCCGAAAGAUGGUGAACUAUGCCUGAAUAGGGUGAAGCCAGAGGAAACUCUGGUGGAGGCUCGUAGCGAUUCUGACGUGCAAAUCGAUCGUCAAAUUUGGGUAUAGGGGCGAAAGACUAAUCGAACCAUCUAGUAGCUGGUUCCUGC
rnacentral:rRNA from 1 species